rnacentral:lncRNA from 1 species
CUGUUAAAUCUGAAGAUCUAAAUUCUAAAAUCGUGGCAUUUGAAGAGUGUAAGGCACUUUGCAAAUAUUGAUAGCAGUAAGAAAGGAGGGAUGGACAAAAGAAGCUUGCCUUGCUUGGAGAUACUGUCAGAAACCAACCUUCGAUGCACUUUCAGAUAGGGUGUGGGUUUGGAAUCUCACUCUAAGGAACAGAAAGGACACACAUCAAGGGAUCAGAGACAUAACGUAUCAUAUUCGCCUGAGAGCAAGCACAGCUUUUUCCUGGGGUCUGGCAUCCCAUAUGCUUUGUGUAUACAUCAAGGGUCAUCUGUUGUGCUUAAAAAUAUGGUGCAAAUUAUUUUACCAGUAUAUUGCUAAUGCUCACAUCUACAGUCUUAUGUAAAAUUAAUUUUCUCUUUUGUCUGUAGUUGCAACUUGGAACACUUUCCUUAUAUGCACUAUAAAAUGUUAAUAGCAAAAUUUAGUAUGACUUUAUGACUGUGGUGUCAUUUUUCUCAGCUUGAUCAGCUCUUUCAAAUGGCAUCAUUAUGAUCAAAGUUGUUUACAGUAAUAAAGCAAGAAUAGUUUCAAUAAAAUAGUAGGUG